rnacentral:tRNA from 1 species
CGGAGAGUAGUUUAAGUGAUAAAAUAUUAAUUUUGGAUAUUAAAGAUAUUUAUUUCUCUCUGA